rnacentral:rRNA from 1 species
ACACCUACGGGUGGCAGCAGUUGGGAAUCUUGCGCAAUGGGGGAAACCCUGACGCAGCGACGUCGCGUGGACGAUGAAGGAUCUAGGUCUGUAAAGUCCUUUUUCACGGAAAGACUUAGGACGGUACCGUGAGAAUAAGCACCGGCUAACUACGUGCCAGCAGCCGCGGUAAGACGUAGGGUGCAAGCGUUGUCCGGAUUUACUGGGCGUAAAGAGCGCGUAGGCGGUCUAUUAAGUGUGAAGUGAAAUCUCCAGCGCUCAACGCGGAAACGGCUUUACAUACUGACAGACUAGAGGGACGAAGAGGUGAGUGGAAUUCCUGGUGUAACGGUGAAAUGUGUUGAUAUCAGGAGGAACACCGAUGGCGAAGGCAGCUCACUGGUCGUUUCCUGACGCUGAGGCGCGAAAGCGUGGGUAGCAAACAGGAUUAGAUACCCUGGUAGUCCACGCCCUAAACUAUGGAUACUAGGCGUAGGAGGUAUCGACCCCUUCUGUGCCGCAGCUAACGCAUUAAGUAUCCCGCCUGGGGAGUACGGCCGCAAGGUUGAAACUCAAAUGAAUUGACGGGGACCCGCACAAGCGGUGGAGCAUGUGGUUUAAUUCGAUAAUAACCGAAGAACCUUACCCAGGUUUGACAUCGUCGGA